rnacentral:rRNA from 1 species
AGUGAACGCUGGCGGUAGGCCUAACACAUGCAAGUCGAACGGCAGCACAGUAAGGGCUUGCUCUUACGGGUGGCGAGUGGCGGACGGGUGAGGAAUACAUCGGAAUCUACUUUUUCGUGGGGGAUAACGUAGGGAAACUUACGCUAAUACCGCAUACGACCUACGGGUGAAAGCAGGGGAUCUUCGGACCUUGCGCGAUUGAAUGAGCCGAUGUCGGAUUAGCUAGUUGGCGGGGUAAAGGCCCACCAAGGCGACGAUCCGUAGCUGGUCUGAGAGGAUGAUCAGCCACACUGGAACUGAGACACGGUCCAGACUCCUACGGGAGGCAGCAGUGGGGAAUAUUGGACAAUGGGCGCAAGCCUGAUCCAGCCAUACCGCGUGGGUGAAGAGGGCCUUCGGGUUGUAAAGCCCUUUUGUUGGGAAAGAAAAGCAGCAGGUUAAUACCCCGCUGUUCUGACGGUACCCAAAGAAUAAGCACCGGCUAACUUCGUG